GAUGAACGCUAGCUACAGGCUUAACACAUGCAAGUCGAGGGGCAGCAUGGUCUUAGCUUGCUAAGGCCGAUGGCGACCGGCGCACGGGUGAGUAACACGUAUCCAACCUGCCGUCUACUCUUGGACAGCCUUCUGAAAGGAAGAUUAAUACAAGAUGGCAUCAUGAGUCCGCAUGAUCACAUGAUUAAAGGUAUUCCGGUAGACGAUGGGGAUGCGUUCCAUUAGAUAGUAGGCGGGGUAACGGCCCACCUAGUCUUCGAUGGAUAGGGGUUCUGAGAGGAAGGUCCCCCACAUUGGAACUGAGACACGGUCCAAACUCCUACGGGAGGCAGCAGUGAGGAAUAGUGGUCAAUGGGCGAGAGCCUGAACCAGCCAAGUAGCGUGAAGGACGACUGCCCUAGGGGUUGUAAACUUCUUUUAUAAAGGAAUAAAGUCGGGUAUGGAUACCCGUUUGCAUGUACUUGAUGAAUAAGGAUCGGCUAACUCCGUG
rnacentral:rRNA from 1 species